UACGUAGGGGGCAAGCGUUGUCCGGAAUCAUUGGGCGUAAAGAGCGCGUAGGCGGCCCUGUAAGUCCGCUGUGAAAGUCAAGGGCUCAACCCUUGGAUGCCGGUGGAUACUGCAGGGCUAGAGUCCGGAAGAGGAGAGUGGAAUUCCUGGUGUAGCGGUGAAAUGCGCAGAUAUCAGGAAGAACACCAAUGGCGAAGGCAGCUCUCUGGGACGGUACUGACGCUGAGGCACGAAAGCGUGGGGAGCAAACAGG
rnacentral:rRNA from 1 species